rnacentral:rRNA from 1 species
GACGAACGCUGGCGGCGUGCCUAAUACAUGCAAGUCGAACGCUGACGGAGGAGCUUGUUUCUCUGGAUGAGUUGCGAACGGGUGAGUAACGCGUAGGUAACCUGCCUGGCAGCGGGGGAUAACUAUUGGAAACGAUAGCUAAUACCGCAUAAUAGUAGAUGUCGCAUGACAUUCGCUUAAAAGUUGCACUUGCAUCACUACCAGAUGGCCCUGCGUUGUAUUAGCUAUUUUGUGAGGUAAGGGCUCACCAAGGCAACGAUACAUAGCCGACUUGAGAGGGUGAACUGCCACAAUGGGACUGGGACACGGCCCAGACCACUACGGGGGGGAGCAGGAGGGGAUCUUUGGAAAAGGACGGAAGGCUGAACGAGGAACGACGGGGGAGGGGAGGAGGGUUUCGGGUCGUAAAGGUCUGUUGUAAGAGAAGGAAGAGUAGGAGAGUUAAAAGUUCACACUGUGACGGUACCUGACCAGAAAGGGACGGCUAACUACGUG